ACCGGACAUCAAGCGGUGAGGUAGCAAACCAUGAUGACAGUUGUUGCCCUUUACAAUUUGCUACCAUUUUGAAAUCUCCAUUGUAAAUGUGGACGCCAUGAGAGGAGCUGAACCUGCUGGCCACUUCCAGGAAGCAGUGCGGAGCCAGGACAGGCAGGGAGCCUGUCUUAUCCCCACUGGCUGCUGAGCGGAAGCCGCCCGAGCUGUGAAACCUGGACACCAUACAAAUAGCAUAUCAAACAGCUAGAGGCCUUCCAUAUAUGGUCGCUGCAUGCCAUUAUAGGGAUCUGCUGGCAAGACAAAAUUACCAACCUGGAGGUUCUCCAAAAGUCAAAUGCCACAAGCACCGAGGCCAUGUUGAUAAAAGCCCAACUACGCUGGGCUGGACACAUCAUUAGGAUGCCUGAACAUUGACUCCGCAGAAAAAAUUUUCUAUGGAGAAUUGGCACAAGGACACUGGACUCAAGGCCACCCCAGAAAGCACUAUAAGGAUAGCAUCAAGAACAGUAUACACUUCAGUGCAAUAAAACCGCAUGAUCUCGAGAAGUGUGUGUCAAAUAGAUCAGCAUGGCGACACACAAUAUUCAGAGCUUUCCAAGCCUUUGAAGAGGAUGAAAUAAUAGACUGUUAGCUGAAAGGGAAAAGUGUUAUACCACUACUAUAGCUACCAAGACCCUCACCAAUGACUUUGUCUGCCCGAUCUGCUUACGAGUAUGUGCAUCACGCUUUGGAUUUAGGAGUCACUGUAGAAUCCACAAAAAGAGAUAGCAUGACAACGAAGUUUUCAUGCUGACAGACUACGUGAAGAAGACGACCAAACCACUAUAGAAGGAAAGCCUUGCAGAAGCAAAAAGUCAUUCAAGUAACUGUCACAGGCAGUAAGUAGGAACUGAGUAGGUGUGGGGCCAGCGGUGCCCUAUAUACUGGUACAGAGGAACGGGGUUCUACGGGGUGCUAGGGCCGGCCCUAUGGAUACCAUUAAGGGAAAAAAUCUCCGGCAACGGUGCAUGUGACGCGUGCACACCUAGCAUGGAAUCGACAUGAGCAAGCACUUGAAGAACUAAUGUGGCCUUCAAGAUGUAAGGAUUGUAUCUCAGGUAUAUAAAUCAAAAUACUUCUGAUUACAUGUUUGGCAGCAAUAAGUACAGCAAAAUGCUGCAAUUAAAGGUUUAUAUUCACACUUUCAGGCUAUUUGGACUUAAAUGUGUUUUACCACAUAUUCAUCUGAUGGUUUAAUUACUGAUAAAAUUGAUAUUUCCAUGUAGCAUCACAAUAAGUGGCCUACCUUUCCACUUGUUUUCUUGACCACACAAUACAAAUACACAUCAAUAACCUACAACAGAAUAUGAAAAAGAGUUAAAAUUUCAAAAAUAUUUGACAAAUCAGUCCAGUCACCAUCCAUGUUUGCUGCUAUUUAAAUGUACCUCAUCACCCAGCCAUCUUCUUGGCUUCAGGCCAUGAAAUGAAAAAUUAUACAAAUUGAUUUUUCUCAUUUUGGCCUCCAGUUUCUGUGUAACCUUGUGGGUCUGUAAACAUGUUACGAUGGAAAAAAAAAAAAAGGGUAACACACAUUACAGUUUCCUUCUUCUCUGUUUUACUAUUGUGAAUGCUGCCAUUUUUACAUGAAAACCUUUGCCAUACUUCAUAAAUGGAAAUAUGUUUACAAAUUGUUUAAAAAAAAAAAAAGGUGCGGUAAGCAAUUACCUUUCAGAAGCCAUUCUUUGUUUUUCCCAUCCUCCAUAAGCAGGUCAUCAAAAUCACUUGGAGUGCUGCCUGCAACUUCUUCCACUACACGCUCCUCUUCUUCUGUGUCUGUGACCUCCACGUUUAUAACUCUGCUGUCAUGAGGCUUGUGAGAUACAUUGCUACCCCUUUUUCCAAUCUCUUCGGAGGGGACUGUUUUUUCAAUGUCACCCAAAGCAGUUUGAUUUUCCAUAUUUUCCUCUGAUCUGUUUUCAGCACCUAAUGUUGGUGGCUUUUUAAAUGGCUUUAAGUGGGAGAUACUGUACAUAGAUCCUAAGUUUCCCUGAGAUGGUUUCCAAUUUAACUCUUUUACCCAUAGCAGUGGUAACUUUGUAUGGUCCACAAUAGGUAUGUUGCAGUGGCCAUCCCUUUCUUGUUAUCUUUCUUGCAUUCAGUAACAACACAGUGCCCAACCUCAAAUGUUAUUUUCCCAUAUUUAGAACUCUUUCUUCAAGCAUACUGUAUUUGUUGUUUUUCUUGUGCUUUAAAAGUAUUACUAAGAGCCAGUGCAAUGUCAGCAUCCUUUCUAGAUUUCAGAUUUAAUCAGUACUCUUUGUAGUAUUGUUCACUGAGAUCCUUGAAAUUUGGUGGCUUUGUAAAGAAAUGGAGAUGGGGCUAUAUUUGUGAAGUAAAGAAUCACUGAAUAACAUAUUUACAUGAAAGCUGAUGGUACUUAAAUACAUUUACCACAUAAUUCUCUGAGACUUGGUCUGGAAAUGUUGCUUCAAAGCCAUACAGUAGUCGAAAGGGUGACAUUUUUGUUGUCAUGUUCAGUUUAGAUCACACACACACAAAAAAGUCAUCAAGAAAUUAAUCCCAAGUACUCCCAGUGUCAUCAAACAACUUCCACAAUCCUCUGUAAUAAAUGGUGAUUGAUUAGUUUGUGGGAAAAAAAGUAAAUGUAAUGUCUUGACUGAGACAGAUUAUACGGAAUCAAAAAGGUGUAAG